AGUGAACGCUGGCGGUAGGCCUAACACAUGCAAGUCGAACGGCAGCACAGUAAGAGCUUGCUCUUACGGGUGGCGAGUGGCGGACGGGUGAGGAAUACAUCGGAAUCUACUUUUUCGUGGGGGAUAACGUAGGGAAACUUACGCUAAUACCGCAUACGACCUACGGGUGAAAGCAGGGGAUCUUCGGACCUUGCGCGAUUGAAUGAGCCGAUGUCGGAUUAGCUAGUUGGCGGGGUAAAGGCCCACCAAGGCGACGAUCCGUAGCUGGUCUGAGAGGAUGAUCAGCCACACUGGAGCUGAGACACGGUCCAGACUCCUACGGGAGGCAGCAGUGGGGAAUAUUGGACAAUGGGCGCAAGCAUGAUCCAGCCAUACCGCGUGGGUGAAGAAGGCCUUCGGGUUGUAAAGCCCUUUUGUUGGGAAAGAAAAGCAGCAGGUUAAUACCCCGCUGUUCUGACGGUACCCAAAGAAUAAGCACCGGCUAACUUCGUG
rnacentral:rRNA from 1 species